AUUGAACGCUGGCGGCAGGCUUAACACAUGCAAGUCGAGCGGGGGAAGGUAGCUUGCUACUGGACCUAGCGGCGGACGGGUGAGUAAUGCUUAGGAAUCUGCCUAUUAGUGGGGGACAACAUCUCGAAAGGGAUGCUAAUACCGCAUACGUCCUACGGGAGAAAGCAGGGGAUCUUCGGACCUGGCGCUAAUAGAUGAGCCUAAGUCGGAGUAGCUAGUUGGUGGGGUAAAGGCCUACCACGGCGACGAUCUGUAGCGGGUCUGAGAGGAUGAUCCGCCACACUGGGACUGAGACACGGCCCAGACUCCUACGGGAGGCAGCAGUGGGGAAUAUUGGACAAUGGGGGGAACCCUGAUCCAGCCAUGCCGCGUGUGUGAAGAAGGCCUUAUGGUUGUAAAGCACUUUAAGCGAGGAGGAGGCUACUUUAGUUAAUACCUAGAGAUAGUGGACGUUACUCGCAGAAUAAGCACCGGCUAACUCUGUGCCAGCAGCCGCUGUAA
rnacentral:rRNA from 1 species